rnacentral:rRNA from 1 species
UGGGGAAUUUUGGACAAUGGGCGAAAGCCUGAUCCAGCAAUGCCGCGUGCGUGAAGAAGGCCUUCGGGUUGUAAAGCACUUUUUGUCCGGAAAGAAAUCCUUGGCUCUAAUACAGUCGGGGGAUGACGGUACCGGAAGAAUAAGCACCGGCUAACUACGUGCCAGCAGCCGCGGUAAUACGUAGGGUGCAAGCGUUAAUCGGAAUUACUGGGCGUAAAGCGUGCGCAGGCGGUUUGCUAAGACCGAUGUGAAAUCCCCGGGCUCAACCUGGGAACUGCAUUGGUGACUGGCAGGCUAGAGUAUGGCAGAGGGGGGUAGAAUUCCACGUGUAGCAGUGAAAUGCGUAGAGAUGUGGAGGAAUACCGAUGGCGAAGGCAGCCCCCUGGGCCAAUACUGACGCUCAUGCACGAAAGCGUGGGGAGCAAAACAGGAUUAGAUACCCUGGUAGUCCACGCCCUAAACGAUGUCAACUAGUUGUUGGGGAUUCAUUUCCUUAGUAACGUAGCUAACGCGUGAAGUUGACCGCCUGGGGAGUACGGUCGCAAGAUUAAAACUUAAAUGAAUUG